UUUUGUGCUAAAUUUACUUGGACUGCAUUGGUGUUUAAAGAAAUGGUCAUGAAGUUUCGGUACCGGAUUUGUUUUGUCCAGAAUUUAGCCUUAAAUGUGAUGGAUUUACUAUAGGAUAUAUGGGUCGAAAAUUCAGUAGGCCGUGUCCUAAAUGUAACAGGUUAAAAUGGGAUUUUCUAAGGAACUACUUGGAUUAAAGUGAUGAAACUUCACCUACUGGUAAUGCUUGUGGAUAGCAAUCUGAAUUUUAAAGGAUAACAGUCAGGUGAUGAAUACCAUGUGUGGGUAGAUAGGAAGAGUUAUACCACCAAUCACCAACAUUUCCUACACCGGAACAAACUAAGGAUUCCUCUGGACAGAACUUACAGCUACCAGCAUAACACUCUAAUGUAGCUAUAUGGAUUGUUGGUAAGACUUUUCUGUGAGCGAAGCACUGGUUUUGACGAAUUUUGUGCCUGAUUUUGGCUGAGAUGUGAGCAAGAACUACUGUUGGUUUGUUCCGCAGCGUUCAAGUGAGGAGGAUUUCAUUUCUGGGUGGAAGGUUUCAUGAGGCACUAUGCACAAGAAUACACACCAGUUACUAUUUGGAAUAUUCUAUAGUGAUUACAGAAAUUAAAAGCUGCAGAAAAACUCCAAGGGCUAAUGUAUUAUUUUUUUGUGCUAAAUUUACUUGGACUGCAUUGGUGUUUAAAGAAAUGGUCAUGAAGUUUCGGUACCGGAUUUGUUUUGUCCAGAAUUUAGCCUUAAAUGUGAUGGAUUUACUAUAGGAUAUAUGGGUCGAAAAUUCAGUAGGCCGUGUCC